rnacentral:rRNA from 1 species
GACGAACGCUGGCGGCGUGCUUAACACAUGCAAGUCGAACGGAAAGGCCCAGCUUUUGCGGGGUGCUCGAGUGGCGAACGGGUGUGUAACACGUGAGUAACCUGCCCUUGACUUUGUGAUAACUUCAGGAAACUGGGGAUAAUACCGGAUAGGAGCUCCUGCUGCAUGGUGGUGGUUGGAAAGUUUCGGCUGUUGGGGAUGGACUUGCGGGUUAUCAGCUUGUUGGUGGGGUAGUGGCUUACCAAGGCUUUGACGGGUAGCCGGCCUGAGAGGGUGGCCAGCCACAAUGGUACUGAGAGACGGCCCAGUCUGCUACGGGAGGCAGCAGUGGGAAAUAUUGCACAGUGGUCGGGAGCCUGAUGCAGCGACGCCGCGUGCGGAAUGACGGCCUUCUGGUUAUAAACCGCUUUCGCCUGUGACGAAGCGGUAGUGACGGUAAUGGGUAAAGAAGCACCGGCUAACUACGUG